rnacentral:rRNA from 1 species
CCUACGGGGGGCAGCAGUCGAGAAUCAUUCACAAUGGGGGAAACCCUGAUGGUGCGACGCCGCGUGGGGGAAUGAAGGUCUUCGGAUUGUAAACCCCUGUCAUGUGGGAGCAAAUUAAAAAGAUAGUACCACAAGAGGAAGAGACGGCUAACUCUGUGCCAGCAGCCGCGGUAAUACAGAGGUCUCAAGCGUUGUUCGGAAUCACUGGGCGUAAAGCGUGCGUAGGCUGUUUCGUAAGUCGUGUGUGAAAGGCGAGGGCUCAACCCGCGGACGGCACAUGAUACUGCGAGACUAGAGUAAUGGAGGGGGAACCGGAAAUCUCGGUGUAGCAGUGAUAUGCGUAGAUAUCGAGAGGAACACUCGUGGCGAAGGCGGGUUCCUGGACAUUAACUGACGCUGAGGCACGAAGGCCAGGGGAGCGAAAGGGAUUAGAUACCCGGGUAGUC